rnacentral:rRNA from 1 species
GUGGGGAAUUUUGGACAAUGGGGGCAACCCUGAUCCAGCCAUUCCGCGUGAGUGAAGAAGGCCUUCGGGUUGUAAAGCUCUUUCGUCAGGAACGAAACGGCGGGCUCUAACAUAGCCUGUUAAUGACGGUACCUGAAGAAGAAGCACCGGCUAACUACGUGCCAGCAGCCGCGGUAAUACGUAGGGUGCGAGCGUUAAUCGGAAUUACUGGGCGUAAAGCGUGCGCAGGCGGAUUGUUAAGCAAGACGUGAAAUCCCCGGGCUUAACCUGGGAAUGGCGUUUUGAACUGGCAGUCUAGAGUGCGUCAGAUGGGGGUGGAAUUCCACGUGUAGCAGUGAAAUGCGUAGAGAUGUGGAGGAACACCGAUGGCGAAGGCAGCCCCCUGGGAUGACACUGACGCUCAUGUACGAAAGCGUGGGUAGCAAACAGGAUUAGAAACCCCAGUAGUCC